rnacentral:rRNA from 1 species
UACGUAGGGGGCGAGCGUUGUCCGAAGUUACUGGGCGUAAGGCGUGCGUAGGCGGUUCUCCAAGUCCGUUGUGAAAGCCCCGGGCUCAACCUGGGAAUGGCAGUGGAAACUAGGGGACUGGAAUCUGGCAGAGGGGGGUGGAAUGCCGCGUGUAGCAGUGAAAUGCGUAGAGAUGCGGCGGAACACCGGUGGCGAAGGCGGGUCUCUGGGCCGAUACUGACGCUGAGGAGCGAAAGCGUGGGGAGCGAACAGG